AGCAGUGUGGUGUAUUGUGCACACGGGAUUUCGUUAAGUAGGUUUGACCAGAAAAUUCAUCCCAAGGCCCUUGUUCGAAUCAAGGUGCUGCUC